GGACAUGACUUCAUGGAUGUCUCUGGACCCAGGGGAGAGGAAGAAGAUCUUGGAGGGGUGAUUAAAUGCAUUGCCAGUGUUUGUCUGAUCAGGAAGCAAGCUCUAGGCUUUCGUGACCUGCACGUUUAAGAACUGCAAGAACAGUUGGAGUUCAGAUGACUGGCUCAACAAUGUCUAGGAGCUCCUGAAAGAUAGUCACUAAUUAAUGAACACGAAGCCCUGGCUUUCGAGACAUUUGAAACAAAUCAGGACAGAGCUCUCCGCUCUGUGUACUUUGGGGACUGGUCUGAAGGCGGGAGAGGCGAGCAGAGAGCUGACGCUGAGCAGAGGCCCAGUCCUCUCCUGAGUCCCCGGGAUUCACCAGGUCAUCACGCGGAGGGAUUUUUCUCUUUAAAUACGACUUUCAUUCCGAGAAAAAACAAAACUAUCAUUUGAGGAGUCAACUGUGUGUAUGUGCUAUUUAGUAAUAUAAAUGUAAGUGUUCGCAUCUUACUAAUCAAAAGGAAAAUUGUUUUGUUCUAACGGUUUUGAAACUUCCCCAUCUCUCAAACAGUACCCAUUACUUUAAACACCUCCGUGUCUAGUAAUUGUUCAAAAAUGUGUCAGGCUACCAGUAAUUUAAGUCCUGUCAAAAAUAAAUCUCAGACACUCACUUCUUCCAGUCAGUGACUUGAAAACCACACCCACAUGUCAAUUACCGGGAGCUUUAGCAAUGUUUCUUUGUUCUGAAUUUGUGUAAACAGAAAAAGGUUCUUCCUCGGUAACAACUGUUUUCUAAAACCUAUAUAAAUGUUUAUGUGAACCUCCUUGCAGCAACACCUAAGAGAAGUAAUAAGAGCUACUGCAUUGGUAAACACACACACACACACACACACACACGCACACAACUCUGUGUGUGCCUUUGGGUAAUAAAUGGAGAAGUGUGAAUGAACAACAUAGCAACUUGUGAAUUAUUCUUUCCACAGAGGCCUGACCUUAAAGUAUUUACGUUUUAAAUUGUAAAUAAAAAUGAUCUACAUUUUCAGAA